UCCACUAGAAAACCACAUGUCAUUCAUAUUUUGUACUUUUCGGAAGAAAGUCAGAACAAGCUCCCACUCAGGUACUUCAUGCUACAAUGUAAUGCACAAACAAUUGAAGGGUAAAAUAUCUGUUGGAGCAAAUGAUUCCGUGACAUUUCAGCCACAUCACAAACGGCUUACUUCGGAAUAAACAAAUAUUAUUCUAACGGAAAAGAAAAAAAAAAAUCCGCGUUCAGUAGAAGUCACUGCAAAAAUAUGAACCAACAAAUUUGAAUUCGCUUUGCUUACUAAAUUUAUUAAGUCUCAUGUAAAGAAACAAUCAACAUCCACAGCCUUAAGGCAAUCA